AAGAGAUGUUACAGCAAGCGAUUGAUGUUCAGCUUCCGAGUUACAUGGACGGGCUGGAUAUCGGGAUGACACCUGGGCGGUCCCCCAUUACUCCUUUCCACGAUGGUGCAAUGUCUCCCACGAAUUAUCUGUUGAGCCCAAAUCUACGGCUGUCUCCGAUUAACGAUGCACAGUUUUCGCCUUAUGUUGGUGGGAUGGGUUUUUCGCCAACUUCAUCACCGGGCUAUAGCCCGUCGUCCCCCGGGUACAGCCCAUCAUCUCCGGGAUACAGCCCCACCUCGCCUGGUUAUAGCCCAACCUCACCGGGCUAUAGCCCUACAUCUCCGGGUUACAGUCCCACCUCUCCAACUUACAGCCCAAGUUCACCCGGUUAUAGCCCAACAAGUCCUACCUACUCACCCACUUCACCUAGCUACUCCCCUACCUCACCAAGCUACUCACCCACAUCACCUAGCUACAGCCCUACAUCGCCAGCUUACAGCCCGACCUCUCCGGCUUACAGCCCGACCUCUCCUUCCUACAGCCCGACAUCACCAUCCUACAGCCCAACCUCACCCUCCUACAGCCCAACCUCACCCUCUUACAGCCCGACCUCUCCUUCCUACAGCCCAACAUCACCAUCCUACAGCCCGACCUCCCCUUCCUACAGCCCAACCUCCCCUGCUUACAGCCCAACUUCACCUGGGUACAGUCCUACUUCCCCAAGCUACAGUCCUACUUCUCCAAGUUACAGUCCCACCUCACCAAGUUACAACCCUUCAUCCGCUAAGUACAGCCCCUCGUUGGCUUAUUCUCCUAGUAGUCCAUACAGCCCUACAUCCCCCAACUAC
rnacentral:lncRNA from 1 species